UACGAAGGGUGCAAGCGUUACUCGGAAUUACUGGGCGUAAAGCGUGCGUAGGUGGUUUGUUAAGUCUGUUGUGAAAGCCCAGGGCUUAACCCUGGAAUUGCCUUUAAGACUGCAUCGCUAGAACCGUGGAGAGGUGAGUGGAAUUCCGAGUGUAGAGGUGAAAUUCGUAGAUAUUGGGAAGAACACCGGUGGCGAAGGCGGCUCACUGGCCCGUAACUGACGCUCAUGCACGACAGCGUGGGGAUCAAACAGG
rnacentral:rRNA from 1 species